rnacentral:rRNA from 1 species
AAAUUGAAGAGUUUGAUCAUGGCUCAGAUUGAACGCUGGCGGCAGGCCUAACACAUGCAAGUCGAACGGUAACAGGAAGCAGCUUGCUGCUUCGCUGACGAGUGGCGGACGGGUGAGUAAUGUCUGGGAAACUGCCUGAUGGAGGGGGAUAACUACUGGAAACGGUGGCUAAUACCGCAUAACGUCGCAAGACCAAAGAGGGGGACCUUCGGGCCUCUUGCCAUCAGAUGUGCCCAGAUGGGAUUAGCUGGUUGGUGAGGUAACGGCUCACCAAGGCGACGAUCCCUAGCUGGUCUGAGAGGAUGACCAGCCACACUGGAACUGAGACACGGUCCAG